CCUACGGGAGGCUGCAGUGAGGAAUAUUGGUCAAUGUGCGUAAGCCUGAACCAGCCAAGUCGCGUGAGGGAUGAAGGUUCUAUGGAUCGUAAACCUCUUUUAUAAGGGAAUAAAGUGCGGGACGUGGCCCGUUUUGUAUUUACCUUAUGAAUAACGAUCGGCUAAAUCCGUCCCAGAAGCCGCGGUAAUACGGAGGAUCCGAGCGUUAUCCGGAUUUCUUGGGUUUAAAGGGUGCGUAGGCCGCCUUUUAAGUCCGCGGUGAAAGUCUGUGGCGCAACCAUAGAAUUGCCGUUGAAACUGGGGGGCUUGAGUAUGUUUGAGGCAGGCGGAAUGCGUGGUGUAGCGGUGAAAUGCUUAGAUAUCACGCAGAACCCCGAUUGCGAAGGCAGCCUGCCAAGCCAUGACUGACGCUGAUGCACGAAAGCGUGGGGAUCAAACAGGAUUAGAUACCCUUGUAGUC
rnacentral:rRNA from 1 species